GACGAACGCUGGCGGCGUGCCUAACACAUGCAAGUCGAACGGAACGGUCGCUUUCGGGGGGUCCCCGAGUGGUGAACGGGUGAGUAACACGCGAGUAAUCUGCCUUUGACUCCGGGAUAACUUCAGGUAACUGGGGCUAAUACCGGAUAGGAGCUCCUGCUGCAUGGUGUGGGCUGGCAAGUUUCGGCGGUUGGGGUUGGGCAGGAGGCUUAUCAGCUUGUUGGCGGGGUAUGGGCUUACCAAGGGUUUGGCGGGUAGCCGGCCUGGGAGGGUGACCGGCCACAUUGAGACCGAGAUACGGCCCAGACUCCGACGGGAGGGAGAAGUGGGGAAGACUGCACAAUGGGUGGAGGCCUGAUGCAGCAACGCCGUGUGCGGGAUGACGGCCUUGGGGUUGGAGACCGCUUUCGCUCAUGACGAAGCUUUGUGUGACGGUAGUGGGUAAAGAAGCACCGGCUAACUACGUG
rnacentral:rRNA from 1 species